rnacentral:rRNA from 1 species
GAUGAACGCUGGCGGCGUGCCUAAUACAUGCAAGUCGAGCGAACAGAUGAGGAGCUUGCUCCUCUGACGUUAGCGGCGGACGGGUGAGUAACACGUGGAUAACCUACCUAUAAGACUGGGAUAACUUCGGGAAACCGGAGCUAAUACCGGAUAAUAUAUUGAACCGCAUGGUUCAAUAGUGAAAGACGGUUUUGCUGUCACUUAUAGAUGGAUCCGCGCCGCAUUAGCUAGUUGGUAAGGUAACGGCUUAACAAGGCAACGAUGCGUAGCCGACCUGAGAGGGUGAUCGGCCACACUGGAACUGAGCCACGGUCCAGACUCCUACGGGAGGCAGCAGUAGGGAACCUUCCGCAAUGGGCGAAAGCCUGACGGAGCAACGCCGCGUGAGUGAUGAAGGUCUUCGGAUCGUAAAACUCUGUUAUUAGGGAAGAACAAAUGUGUAAGUAACUAUGCACGUCUUGACGGUACCUAAUCAGAAAGCCACGGCUAACUACGUG